rnacentral:rRNA from 1 species
UACGUAGGGGGCAAGCGUUGUCCGGAAUCAUUGGGCGUAAAGAGCGUGUAGGCGGUCCGGUAAGUCGGCUGUGAAAGUCCAGGGCUCAACCCUGGGAUGCCGGUCGAUACUGCCGGACUAGAGUUCGGAAGAGGCGAGUGGAAUUCCCCGGUGUAGCGGUGAAAUGCGCAGAUAUCGGGAGGAACACCUAUGGCGAAGGCGGCUCUCUGGACGGUGACUGACGCUGAGACACGAAAGCGUGGGUAGCAAACAGG